UGGGGAAUAUUGCACAAUGGGCGCAAGCCUGAUGCAGCAACGCCGCGUGGGAGAUGAAGGCCUUUGGGUUGUAAAUCCCUUUCGGUUGGGAAAUAGGGUCAUAUGGCUAAUAUCCAUGUGAUUUGAUGGUACCAAAAGAAGAAGCACCGGCUAACUUCGUGCCAGCAGCCGCGGUAAUACGAAGGGUGCAAGCGUUGUUCGGAAUGACUGGGCGUAAAGGGUUCGUAGGCGGGAAUAUAAGUUAAGUGUGAAAUCCCUGGGCUUAACCCAGGACGUGCACUUAAAACUGUGUUUCUUGAGUACUGGAGGGGGUUGGGGAAUUGCUGGUGUAGGAGUGACAUCCGUAGAGAUCAGCAGGAACACCGGAGGCGAAGGCGCCAACCUGGACAGAUACUGACGC
rnacentral:rRNA from 1 species